CGAGCUUGGAUGCAACAGCAAGAGGCUUUAUUUACACACGGGCUGUCUACGGACCUUUGAAGAUAUGGAGCUGGAACACUCAAAGGAGAAAUCAUAUGGCUAUUUUCUCCAAUCUAUUACCUCGUUUAAACUAUUUUUAAAAAUCCAUCAAAUUGCUUUGAGGAGAAUAUGGAAAAGAAAUUUGGAUGAUGGACAUCCAUGUUGAGUUCCUAAUUUCAGUGAAAUUGUCCCAAGAUUUAGUUCACUUAGGAAGGCA